AAAUUGAAGAGUUUGAUCAUGGCUCAGAUUGAACGCUGGCGGCAGGCUUAACACAUGCAAGUCGAGCGGAAACGAGCUAUCUGAACCUUCGGGGAACGAUAACGGCGUCGAGCGGCGGACGGGUGAGUAAUGCCUAGGAAAUUGCCCUGAUGUGGGGGAUAACCAUUGGAAACGAUGGCUAAUACCGCAUGAUGCCUACGGGCCAAAGAGGGGGACCUUCGGGCCUCUCGCGUCAGGAUAUGCCUAGGUGGGAUUAGCUAGUUGGUGAGGUAAGGGCUCACCAAGGCGACGAUCCCUAGCUGGUCUGAGAGGAUGAUCAGCCACACUGGAACUGAGACACGGUCCAGACUCCUACGGGAGGCAGCAGUGGGGAAUAUUGCACAAUGGGCGCAAGCCUGAUGCAGCCAUGCCGCGUGUGUGAAGAAGGCCUUCGGGUUGUAAAGCACUUUCAGUCGUGAGGAAGGUAGUGUAGUUAAUAGCUGCAUUAUUUGACGUUAGCGACAGAAGAAGCACCGGCUAACUCCGUGCCAGCAGCCGCGGUAAUACGGAGGGUGCGAGCGUUAAUCGGAAUUACUGGGCGUAAAGCGCAUGCAGGUGGUUUGUUAAGUCAGAUGUGAAAGCCCGGGGCUCAACCUCGGAAUAGCAUUUGAAACUGGCAGACUAGAGUACUGUAGAGGGGGGUAGAAUUUCAGGUGUAGCGGUGAAAUGCGUAGAGAUCUGAAGGAAUACCGGUGGCGAAGGCGGCCCCCUGGACAGAUACUGACACUCAGAUGCGAAAGCGUGGGGAGCAAACAGGAUUAGAUACCCUGGUAGUCCACGCCGUAAACGAUGUCUACUUGGAGGUUGUGGCCUUGAGCCGUGGCUUUCGGAGCUAACGCGUUAAGUAGACCGCCUGGGGAGUACGGUCGCAAGAUUAAAACUCAAAUGAAUUGACGGGGGCCCGCACAAGCGGUGGAGCAUGUGGUUUAAUUCGAUGCAACGCGAAGAACCUUACCUACUCUUGACAUCCAGAGAACUUUCCAGAGAUGGAUUGGUGCCUUCGGGAACUCUGAGACAGGUGCUGCAUGGCUGUCGUCAGCUCGUGUUGUGAAAUGUUGGGUUAAGUCCCGCAACGAGCGCAACCCUUAUCCUUGUUUGCCAGCGAGUAAUGUCGGGAACUCCAGGGAGACUGCCGGUGAUAAACCGGAGGAAGGUGGGGACGACGUCAAGUCAUCAUGGCCCUUACGAGUAGGGCUACACACGUGCUACAAUGGCGCAUACAGAGGGCAGCCAACUUGCGAAAGUGAGCGAAUCCCAAAAAGUGCGUCGUAGUCCGGAUUGGAGUCUGCAACUCGACUCCAUGAAGUCGGAAUCGCUAGUAAUCGUGGAUCAGAAUGCCACGGUGAAUACGUUCCCGGGCCUUGUACACACCGCCCGUCACACCAUGGGAGUGGGCUGCAAAAGAAGUAGGUAGUUUAACCUUCGGGGGGACGCUUACCACUUUGUGGUUCAUGACUGGGGUGAAGUCGUAACAAGGUAGCGCUAGGGGAACCUGGCGCUGGAUCACCUCCUUAUACAAUGAU
rnacentral:rRNA from 1 species